rnacentral:tRNA from 1 species
UGUGGCUGGAUCACCUCCUUUAAGGGAGACCUACCCGCUCAAAUUCUGAAAGCACAGUGCAAAUAGGAAAUGAGUUGGUCAUCCCAAGGUCGUUCGAGGUAUGAGUGUGAGGCUUUCAAACUAUUAAAGGUUCGGAUAUGGGCUAUUAGCUCAGGUGGUUAGAGCGCACCCCUGAUAAGGGUGAGGUCCCUGGUUCGAGUCCAGGAUGGCCCACCUUAAGAAGGACGAAAGAGAGAAGAGAGAAGAGAGAGGUUAAACCUCUGUCCUCCAGCUUCAACUUUCAUUCUUUAGAGCGGGGGUUUAGCUCAGUUGGUAGAGCGCCUGCUUUGCAAGCAGGAUGUCAGCGGUUCGAGUCCGCUAACCUCCACUGGGAGUUAAUAGGGCAAGAAUUAGAGGAACAAUUCAGCAACUUAUCUAGGUUUGGCUAGGAAGUCUGCUGGAUUAGUCCAGCCAGAACCAUGAAAACUGCAUAGCGAAAGAAGAUUUCUGUCAGGUAGUAGAGAUUCAUUUGACCCAGGUUGAAUGAAUCGUCAACACAGACACCAAUGAAUUUUGUGGUCAAGCUACAAAGGGCUGAUGGUGGAUACCUAGGCACACAGA